rnacentral:lncRNA from 1 species
GUUAGAUUUACCAAAAGAUAAUGGUGAAAUGAAAAUUUCAAGUUACAGUUUAGAAGUUUGUGAAAAUUCAGAUGCUGGGAAUCUCUGGAAAAUAAUCUACAGUGGCACACUGCAGGAAUUCCUGUACGAUGACCUCCAACCAGGCACCACUUAUAAACUUAGGGUCUUUUGCACUUCACCUGCGGGCCAAAGCCGUCCUUCAGAUGUAUUGACAAUUCAGACACCUGCUCUUCCUCCUGAGUCUUGCAGUUCGCAGCCCUUACAUAGUAAAAGCAAGGGAAGGGAUGCCAACCUUCUUGACAAUCGUUCUGUUAAUGGGAAGUCUGAAGCACCUGUGCGAGGCAAAAAAGCAAAAGGUACUCAUCAUGACAAAAAGGAGUGCCCCAGCUCUGAAAAGACAUGUGCAGCUGUAAAUAUAGUUGGGGUUGGAAUGUUUGGAGGAACUGCAAAAGUGACAACACCUGGAACGGUACCAGCAAUGGUUCCAAUGUUACAAGAAGUUGAAAACAAAGUGCCUGCCAAGCAGUCAUCAACUUGCAUAGCUAUCCGGUGGGAGGAGCCAGACUGCCAUGGCUCUCAGAUCACUGGAUAUAACAUUGAAUAUGGAGAUAAAAAAAUCGUGACUGUCAAAAGGGUAACCGAGUAUGUUCUGAAAAAUCUACAACCUAAUACUACAUACCGAAUCAGAAUUCAAGCUAUCAAUCAUUAUGGACUAAGCCCUUUUAGCCCAUCAAUAAGAUGCAAAACCAAACCACUGCCACCAGAGCCUCCACAGCUUAAUUGUGUGGUCUAUGGACACCAGAGUCUCAGACUCAAAUGGGGCACAGUCUCCAGCAAAAAGUCACGUGCGAUCUUUAUCAGCUACAACUUACUAAUGGAAGACCGAUCUGGCAGGUUUUCUGUCAUUUACCGUGGGACAGAUGUGACUCACAAA